rnacentral:rRNA from 1 species
GCGAUUUCCCGAGUAACGGCGAGUGANNGGAAUAAGCCCACCCUGAUUCUUACAGUUUAACGACUGUGUAGACCUGAAGGGUUAAGACCGUGCUUUCCGGCGUCGUUGAUUCCCAUAAGUCCCCUUGACUGGGGCCGUAGCCCAUAGCGGGUGCAAGGCCUUUACUGGGAGUCGGCUUCGUCGGUUUGCGUUGGUCGCAGAGUCGGGUUGCUUGAGAGUGCAGCCCUAAUACGUGGUAAACCCCACGUAAGGCUAAAUAUGACGACGAGACCGAUAGCAAACAAGUACCGUGAGGGAAAGUUGAAAAGAANUNNGAA